rfam:Colius striatus contig1015, whole genome shotgun sequence.
GGGUCUGGCUCUGUGUGGAAGACUAGUGAUUUUGUUGUUGUGCUUAAUAGAGGUGACAACAAAUCAUAGCCUGCCACACAGCCCAGACCU